UCCUGUCGGUGCAAGAUGGCGGUGCAGAUCUCCAAGAAGAGGAAGUUUGUUGCUGAUGGCAUCUUUAAAGCUGAACUGAAUGAGUUUCUCACCAGGGAGCUGGCUGAGGAUGGCUAUUCUGGGGUGGAGGUUCGAGUUACCCCAACCAGGACAGAAAUCAUCAUCUUGGCUACCAGGACUCAGAAUGUCCUUGGGGAGAAGGGUCGCCGGAUUCGUGAACUGACAGCUGUAGUGCAGAAGAGGUUUGGCUUCCCCGAAGGCAGUGUAGAGCUGUACGCUGAGAAGGUGGCCACCAGAGGUCUCUGUGCUAUUGCUCAGGCUGAAUCCCUGCGUUACAAGCUCCUGGGAGGCCUUGCUGUGCGUAGAGCCUGCUAUGGUGUCCUCCGCUUCAUUAUGGAGAGUGGAGCAAAGGGAUGUGAAGUUGUGGUGUCUGGUAAACUCAGAGGCCAGAGGGCCAAGUCCAUGAAGUUUGUGGAUGGUCUGAUGAUCCACAGUGGAGACCCUGUCAACUACUACGUCGACACAGCUGUGCGCCACGUCCUCCUCAGACAGGGUGUAUUGGGAAUUAAAGUCAAAAUCAUGUUGCCCUGGGACCCAAGUGGCAAGAUUGGCCCCAAGAAGCCCCUGCCUGACCAUGUGAGCAUCGUAGAGCCCAAGGAUGAGAUUCUUCCCACCACUCCCAUCUCAGAGCAGAAGAGUGGGAAGGCAGAGCAACCUGCUAUGCCCCAGCCAGUGCCCACUGCAUAACAGGUCAGUCCAUAGAGCUGCAUUUGGGUGGAAGCAAUUAGCUAGGAAUUUUGUCUGUGUAAAACAAAAAAUUCGAAGUGGACUUAUGUCCAUUGCCUUGUUAUCUUCCAUAGCCCUGUGAAGGAGGCAGGGUAGGGCCUUAGUCCAUCCAUUCCAGGCUUUGGGAAAUUGAAGUGUUUAAACUCUUACUACUGGACUGGUGAGAGAAAUGAGACUAAUAAGAAAGCAGCUCUAAGGGUUGUUGGAUGGUUAAAAAGUGACUGUAGAACAAGAAAAGGUAGGGCUGAGAGAGAUCUGAGAGGUGACCCAAUUUAUAGAAUAGGAAAUGGGCUCAGAGAGGAAGUUGCUCAACAUCACAUUCCCACUGCCUUUCCCACUUUGCUGUCCUACCUCUACUUGCAUGUCUAGUGAUAUGCUCUGACACCCAGCAGAGUGAGUCGCUACCAUUGGGGAGCAUUUCUCAUUGUUCAGAAAUUCCUAAAUGGAGCCUAAAUCUCUCUCAUUCAGCGGUCAGAGUGAACUAUCACUGUCUAGUUUUCCUCCUUUUGUGCUUUUGCUCAAACAUCUUUCAGUGAAGCCUUCAGUGAACCUAUCCUGUUACUUAUGCUAUUCUGUCUGUUAUCAAUAAAUAGUUGUUUGCAUGUCUCUUAACCACACUAUUGAAACCUUUGCUGUCACCUUUUACUUGUCUCUGUCUUGCAUCUAAUAAAUAUUUAAUAAAUAUUAAAUCGAAAACCCUCUGCUUUCCUUUUAUUUUCAGCCAGUUGCCCUAGUUCUCUGGAGCUAUGCAGAACAUGUUUGCUCCUUUCCAUUUCUGACCUUUCAGAUGUUUGAGGGAGGCAGCUUGGGGUGUGGAAAGACCUCUGGACCAGAAGACCUGGUUUCAAACCCCAGUUGUACUGACUCCCUUUCUCAAGGUCUGUCCCCUCAGGUUUUCAAACCAUUCUGUUCUUAAAGGACCUUAUGUGCUCAGUAGUGCCUCAGUAGAUAGAUAUGGUCCAGAUUUGGAGGGUCAGGUCCACCAACCCACCCUUGCCAGAAGACAAACCUGAUUGACAUGUUGGUCUAGCCCACAUUUUCUUUGUAGCUGUCUCUGUCACUUCAGCUUCUUCUUCUCUCCUCCUAGGAGGUUCUAACUCAGGUUGUGGUGAUUAUCAAAUAUGAGCAACUCUUUUCCCCUCUGUCUCAGAUUCCUCAUCUGUAAACAAUAGUCCCUCCCUCUGUCCAGUCAGGGACCGGUGUGAAGAGGAGUAAAGAAGGGAGUUAUUUUUAUUGACUGGAUAUUAAUCAGGUUUAAGAAAUGGCCACUGGAAUGUUGGUAAAGAGGAUUCAAUUGAUUGGAAUGUCUUGGAGGAAUGCUAGAAAUCAACUAGUUCAAGAUGGGGGGAAAGUGAGGAAACCUCUAAGUACUGGGCCUUAAGUCUGCCUUUCACGUAGCUUGCUGUUUACUGGGGUCGGGGUUAGGGGACCAUUAAAACAAUGUGAUCCAUAGGUGGAAAACUGCCGUUUGUGGUACAAGAUGUUAGAUUUUUAUUGGGGGGAGGCGGGUCUUGAAGGGCUUCUUAUGGCUUUCAAGUUGGCCUUUACAGUAUGCCUGGGAAGUCAGACAAAAGUGGGGAGCAGGAGACAUUCCAGACAUAAAGUGUUACAGCUAGGGCAGGAAGAGCAGAGGUCUGAUUCUGGACAGAGGAGUAAGCUUCAGUUAUUGGUGGAAAGCCUUGAAUACCAACAAUUUGAACUUGAUUUGGUCAGCAGUAAGAAACCUGAAUCUUGAACAGACCAGUGAUAUAACUAGAUUUAUGCAUAUAUUGUUGUGGUGGAAAGAUUGAGUCCAGUGGGGUGGUAUUGAGGACCUGAUGUUAUAACAGUGGAGAUGAAGGGGAGGUUUGGGAGAGAUGUUGUGGAGUUCAGAAACUGGUAACUGGCUUUUCCUGCUCCCUCACCUCUCAUAUCCAGAUAACACUUCUAGACUUUAGGGUUAUUGCUUUGAUCUAACUUAUGUCUUAUUUUGGUUUCAAGGACUCUGACAUCUGGAAUGGUGUGCCCAAAGCUCUUCUGUAAAGAUCUUUAAUAAAAUCUUUUUCAAAACAAA